AUUUUUAUUAGUCAUUUCAGACAAGUUUCACUGAUAUCACAUUUUCUCUGGAUUUUUUUACUACAAGGUAUUUCAUAGUUAGAUGUAUAAAUAUUCUGGUAUCACUUCAGUUCUUUCUGGUUACAUAUAAGCAAUUUUCUUCAAUUAUACAUGAUUAAUUUUGCACCAACAUACUGACUCGUCCUGCUGCAAGACUGAAAAACCACAACAGAAGUUUGUCUUCUUGCAAGCAACUCAAUUAGUUCAACAUUAACUGUCUGUAUUUGAGGAUGAAAAUCUGAGCCAAGGCCCAAUCCAGAAUAAUGUUCUAAUUACUAAAUCACAAAUCCAGUUGGGAUUGUAGCACUUACAUGCAACACUUAAACAAUACAAUUUAUACAGCUGAUACAGGAUACCCAUAGUCACUUUUCUCAGUAUAGCCAGUUUUUAUUGGAUAAAAGAGCAAAAACUCAACUAUGAAUUACUUUUCAACCUGAGCUCUCAUUCACUGAACAUACUCUUUUGGGAACAGCAGGGACUAGAAUGUAUGGGAAUUAAUGAAACUCUGACCAACAGUUAAAAAUGCUGCUCAAGCCAAAGUUCCUGCAAUGAUAUCUAGAAUUCCCAAACACCAUUCAUACUGACAUGUGCACCUUGAUGUAUCUCAGCAGACUGAUCUCCUGUGGUUCCCAGGUUUUGGUCAUUUGUGCUCGGUGAGUUUUUGGCCUGUCAGUGCUAAGUGAGUUGAAGAACAUAUACUUCACUUAAACUUUUACUUCAGAAAUUCUAAUCACUUUGUAGUACUUAGAGUAAAAAGGGGGAAAGGAUAUUCUUGACAACUAUUAACAGAGGAUUUUGGUUUUGGAAGUACUGCCUUCACAACUAAAAAUUACAUUAGUAAUCAUAUAGCUUGCCUUCAUUUGUUAUUACAUUCCCCAGAAUUAAAAGAUACAACAUUCCAAGAGUUCUUAUGGUAUUCUGUUGAUUGGCGUGUAAAAACCUAGGCACCCUUGAUCCAAACACACUUGAAAACUAUGGGAAGAUUGCAUUGACUUCAUUUGAGGCAGGUUUUCUUUGCAACAUUCUAAAUUGUGUGACUGCCGUGGAGCAAAGGGAUCUGCAAAAGCAGAUGUUUUGCCAGUGAGCACACAGCAAUUGGAGCAUUCACCACCAGAAAAUAGCUGCCUCAUACUCUAAAUCUUAGUGGGAAGGGCUUGGAAGAGAUGUUUCUGUGGGCAUUGAUUUCAUGUAUCCCAUGUCAUUGAGAGCAAGUCACAGUCAAAGAUGACCUUUUUUUUACUGCUUCAAUAAAAACUAUAAAUCUUUCUAUGUUGGUUGAAAAUUAAUUGUAAACAUUCUGAUUUUACUAAAGCUUUGUAAAGUAUCUGAAGUGGUCUAAAUGGUGGCAGGUGGCAUGUGAUACAUUUUCCAGGUGAUACUAAUAAAUGCUUUACUUCAAGACUGAUAGUGUCAUUAUUACAGUUAAUUUUCAUUGCAUUUGAAUUUUUAUUGUUUCCAAUAUGGAGAGAAAAUGAAAUAUUCAUUACAGGUCAUAAAUGGGCAGCUUUCACCUUAACACUUGAAGCAUCAGUCUGAACUUGCCAAAUGCUAAAGAGUUCCAGCAUCUUAAAAUGAAAAACAGCACACUUGCUUUUUAAUUAAAGCCUUUUCUUGAUAGAGAAAGAUUUGUAUGGAAUUCAAACCCUCUCUGUUAUUGAUAUCUUUCACACUCCGGAGUGACGCUGUAGCAAGGUGAAGCUGCUCCAUUUUUGGUUUGAGAAUCAGCACCUCAAGAUGGUUUUUUAUCAUAAAAUACUGAAAUUGCAUUUAAGAACAGUUCUUAAUAGGUUACUUAACACAUUUUGAAUAAAUCACCUUAGAAAUCUGUGGGAAAAGACUGAGGAAAACAAACAAAGCUGGGUAGUUAAUGAACUUAAGGUAAAGUAAUUUCGUGGACUUGGAAAGCUGGACCUUUCUUGAAUGAGAACUCUUGAAUGAGUUUUCAUUCAAGCUGCAAGAGAUAUGGAACAAAUCAGAAACUAGCAGUAAAUAGUUUUACACACUUUUUCCUCUCUCAGAGAGUAACAUCUUUCAUAAACAGAGGCACAUUCAAAUUCCAGGCAAGGCCCAUGAAAGCGUAGACACUGUGUUUUCCAGUAGGUAAAGAAUAUUCUUUUCAGUGGCUGGAUUAAAGGCAACAGCUUUAGACAAAUACGUAGGCAGGAUAAAUCUUGUUAAACUCGUCAUUCACCAGUAUCGGGGCGCAAACAAGGAGGUCAUUGGCUGUGUAAUGCAGCAGCAGGGCAAAACCAAGCAGGGAAAGCAUCUUGGAUUUAUGGCAGGAGGUGUAAGCAAGUGAAUAGCUCUUGUCCACAGGGCUGGAAGUAAUCCAACUCGAUUCAGAGAUGCUGUGCAAGUGUGGAAUUACACACUUGGUGUCUAAUUGUACCAGUUCCCACAUGCUCACAAGUAUGUGUCUUGCCAGGGCUUUCAAAUCUCUGAGUCUCCAUGUCUGUGCUCUGAAUUCCAGUACAGUCCAAUAAAUAACCCAAAGUACCUCCAGCAGUGGCUAUGAUGAACUGUGACUGGAUUUGGCAGCAGAUAAGCUAGAAGAUCACUUCAGCUGUAUGACAGAAAACAUUUACCCUAUGAAAGAAUAAGAAUGUGAGUCCAGAGACAGCAGGCUGCAGGUCUGGACAUGGAUGUGGACAGUGAAGAUGUGUACAGUUUAUUUUUUUUGGACUGUCCUCAGUGAACAGAACAUUGAACACAAAUUCAAAACCAGCCUACAGGCCUCCCUUAACACUGGCCAUUCUGUGCAAAGUGGACACAGAUGUCUUUCCUCGUGCUGCUCCAAUCCAGCAAGGGAUGUGAUUGCUCGGACUGCCCAGGAGUCCCUGUCCCUGCCUGACCCCCAAGCCUCCGUCUGCCUUACACUGUGCACGCGGCUGCUCCUGCUCCCGGCUCUGCUCAUCUGAUCCACUGAAACAUGAGAAAGGAGUGAGGCAGUGACAGCCCCCAACUGCUGCAGGUCGAGAGCUGGAUUUUAGUGCAGUUUGACUCUGGAGAAAGUAAUUCAAAAUUAGCUGAAUGGCCCCAGUCUUAUAGAACACCUUCACUCACUUCUUUUAAUGAGGUAAAAUUACUCGUCCUCCACCACACAAUCAUCCUUUUAGUGACAUAUGUAAUAAAGGGAAAAUAAAAAAAGGAAAUAACAGCUGAGUCCACACAAGGAACUAUUAUAAAUGAAAACUCCACAGAUGUGGAGAUAACUGAAAUGAGGUAGCUUCCCAGCCAUGUAUUUUCCCUGAUGAUAAAUAAUAAUGACUUCCCCCCAAAUUAUUUUCAGGCUGUUUUUUCCGCUCUCUUCUAAAUUCUUCCAUACUUGAAAUUCAUAUUUAUGUAUGAAGCAGAACAUGAAAUGUCACCUUCACUAAUAAUAGCCUAAGGAUGUCUCACUUUUGACGGUGAGGAAGCUGAAAAAAAAAUCUUUAAAUAGGAUGCUCUAAAGUUCUUGGUUUGUACUAAAUUUAAUUUGCUGGAUUUUGAGCCAGGGUUCUCCAGGACACUUCAGAGUUCUAGGUGAUGACAGCUGUUGAGGUCAAACAGGUGCCUGGGAGCCACAGUGAACAUCACUGUAAGAAUCUGACAGAUCAUCACUUGUGAUAAAUCCAGUUACAAGACUUUGACAGCCUCACAGACUGAUGAACCUCAGGUGUUUCCUGCCUAAUGGCAAGACUGACAUACAGAAAUUUUCAAGUUAAAGGUGUCAGCUAUUCCAUUCUACAUUGGCAGUAGUUUGGGGCAACUAUCUCUGUCUUGGAAAAAAUUUAAAUCUUUGGGCCAGGGGUAAAAUAAGAGAUUUUUACAUCAUAGUUUUGAUUAAAUUUAAUUUGGGAUACCUGAAGAACAGUUUAAAUAAUUGUCACAAUUUUGUUCAUACUGUUUUGUCUCAUUAUUUCAUCUUACAACUUUCUUAAAUUAUCAGAAGCCUAAACAGGUGCCUCUGUGCAUUAUGUGGUAUCGCUGACUCGCAGGGAGGGAGCUUUAAGAGGGCAGACACCUUGUUUUAGCUGUCAAGUAUUCUGGAAAAUGAUGUAAAGAACGUGCACCAGCCUAAAAUGUGACAAGUUAAGUUGGCUAAUGAUGUUUCUGAUUCAGACUGAGUAGUAACAUGGCUCCAUGCUGAAAAUCAAUUCUAUUAC
rnacentral:lncRNA from 1 species